rnacentral:rRNA from 1 species
GUACACAAAAAUGCACAUAUUGUGAGCUCGAUGAGUAGGGCGGGACACGUGGUAUCCUGUCUGAAUAUGGGGGGACCAUCCUCCAAGGCUAAAUACUCCUGACUGACCGAUAGUGAACCAGUACCGUGAGGGAAAGGCGAAAAGAACCCCGGCGAGGGGAGUGAAAAAGAACCUGAAACCGUGUACGUACAAGCAGUGGGAGCACGCUUAGGCGUGUGACUGCGUACCUUUUGUAUAAUGGGUCAGCGACUUAUAUUCUGUAGCAAGGUUAACCGAAUAGGGGAGCCGAAGGGAAACCGAGUCUUAACUGGGCGUUAAGUUGCAGGGUAUAGACCCGAAACCCGGUGAUCUAGCCAUGGGCAGGUUGAAGGUUGGGUAACACUAACUGGAGGACCGAACCGACUAAUGUUGAAAAAUUAGCGGAUGACUUGUGGCUGGGGGUGAAAGGCCAAUCAAACCGGGAGAUAGCUGGUUCUCCCCGAAAGCUAUUUAGGUAGCGCCUCGUGAAUUCAUCUCCGGGGGUAGAGCACUGUUUCGGCAAGGGGGUCAUCCCGACUUACCAACCCGAUGCAAACUGCGAAUACCGGAGAAUGUUAUCACGGGAGACACACGGCGGGUGCUAACGUCCGUCGUGAAGAGGGAAACAACCCAGACCGCCAGCUAAGGUCCCAAAGUCAUGGUUAAGUGGGAAACGAUGUGGGAAGGCCCAGACAGCCAGGAUGUUGGCUUAGAAGCAGCCAUCAUUUAAAGAAAGCGUAAUAGCUCACUGGUCGAGUCGGCCUGCGCGGAAGAUGUAACGGGGCUAAACCAUGCACCGAAGCUGCGGCAGCGACGCUGAUGCGUUGUUGGGUAGGGGAGCGUUCUGUAAGCCUGCGAAGGUGUGCUGUGAGGCAUGCUGGAGGUAUCAGAAGUGCGAAUGCUGACAUAAGUAACGAUAAAGCGGGUGAAAAGCCCGCUCGCCGGAAGACCAAGGGUUCCUGUCCAACGUUAAUCGGGGCAGGGUGAGUCGACCCCUAAGGCGAGGCCGAAAGGCGUAGUCGAUGGGAAACAGGUUAAUAUUCCUGUACUUGGUGUUACUGCGAAGGGGGGACGGAGAAGGCUAUGUUGGCCGGGCGACGGUUGUCCCGGUUUAAGCGUGUAGGCUGGUUUUCCAGGCAAAUCCGGAAAAUCAAGGCUGAGGCGUGAUGACGAGGCACUACGGUGCUGAAGCAACAAAUGCCCUGCUUCCAGGAAAAGCCUCUAAGCAUCAGGUAACAUCAAAUCGUACCCCAAACCGACACAGGUGGUCAGGUAGAGAAUACCAAGGCGCUUGAGAGAACUCGGGUGAAGGAACUAGGCAAAAUGGUGCCGUAACUUCGGGAGAA